UAGGGAAUAUUGGACAAUGGGCGAAAGCCUGAUCCAGCCAUGCCGCGUGUGUGAAGAAGGUCUUCGGAUUGUAAAGCACUUUAAGUUGGGAGGAAGGGCAUUAACCUAAUACGUUAGUGUUUUGACGUUACCGACAGAAUAAGCACCGGCUAACUCUGUGCCAGCAGCCGCGGUAAUACAGAGGGUGCAAGCGUUAAUCGGAAUUACUGGGCGUAAAGCGCGCGUAGGUGGUUUGUUAAGUUGGAUGUGAAAUCCCCGGGCUCAACCUGGGAACUGCAUUCAAAACUGACUGACUAGAGUAUGGUAGAGGGUGGUGGAAUUUCCUGUGUAGCGGUGAAAUGCGUAGAUAUAGGAAGGAACACCAGUGGCGAAGGCGACCACCUGGACUAAUACUGACACUGAGGUGCGAAAGCGUGGGGAGCAAACA
rnacentral:rRNA from 1 species